AGAGUGACCACCUCAGCUGUCCUUGCCCUCAGGGGUCUUACAAUCCAGUAGGACCUGAAUCCAAUGACCAGGAGGCAGCGCCUGCUAUAGCAGUCACACCAAGCUUGGCUUCCUCCUUCUUAGUGAAAGUACUAAACCAGAAGUUCCCCAACUUACAGCAAGAAGGCAGCCAUCUGCAAGCCAGGAAGAGUGUCCUCACCAGGAAUUGAAUCUGCCAGCACUUUGAUCUUGGACUUCAGCCUCCAGAACUGUUGGAAAUAAUGUGUGUUGUUUAAGCUACUCCAUCUAUGUUAUUUUGUUAUAGUAGUCUGAGCUAGGAUAAUUGCUGAAAGAUAUAUUUGGGGGCCUGAAUCUGGUCCCUUAAACUUUCAACAAUAAACAUUUAUUGAACAUCUCCGAGGUUCCUAUUCAUUCAACAGAUGCUUAUUAAGCUCCUAUUAUGUGUUUAUUCGUCAACAUUUACUGAGGGCCUACAUUGUGCAUUGGGCUAGGUAUGCCUAUCCAUUCCUUCAGGGAAAUCUCUCAGUCUGGUGGGGACCCCUUACCUAUCAGUAUCCAGAGGGGACACAGCUCACUCAUUCACACACAUGCGCACUGCAAGAAGGGUGUCCUGCACAACAUAGGUGCUUAAAUGACUUCAAUGAAUACACAUGCUAGAUUCAGCGUUUUACACCACUGUGCUUAUGCACAGUUCCUGUCUUUCCAGAGCCUGUAAUUUAUUCAAGGAGCUGAAAGUAAAUGAUACAAGACAACAACAUAAAGAAGUAAGCCCUAUGACCUACGCUGUAGCUGGAGGAGAGACCACAGGAACCAGGAUGGAUGAAUGGCAGCAAACCCCAAACUCCGGCCCUUGACCUUAGGUUAGCCAAGCUGGAUCUCUCUGAACCUUAGUUUCCCUAUCUGUGAAAUUGGUGAUCCUCAUGCCUAUUACGGGACAGCGUGAGCCUCAGUGCAGAGGGCACUGCUUGGUGGGAUGAAAGAGUGCAACAAAUAGUAGCUACCAUUGUUAUCAAUGAAGCCUGCAACCACUGUGACUGGGGGCCCAGGCAGAAGGAUAGAGUGAUGGAGGGGGUGAGAUCAGGAUGACUUAUUAACCUUGAGCUGGGGCCUGGUGAGCUCUCUCCCGUUGGCACUGGCUUGCUGUGCCUGCAGGGCUGGGGCUGACUGUGGGUGGGGUGUUUAUUCUGGGAAGCAGCCCGGGCUGCUCCUCACACCCUGCUCCAGCAAGAAAAGAGGGCUUCGAGUCAGAACUGAGUCCUGUGCUGGGCCUGGCAUGUAUGAGCCAGCCCACCUGUCCAGAUGGCCCAGGGCUGAGAAUGUCCAGGAGGCCCAGCCUCAAGGGCCAGCUGGGUGUUUCAGGUUUAGGACACACUGUCCCCACAGGACUCACCAGACCCCCACGAAUCCAGUUCUAGAUGGCCUGAAAUGCUCAGCUUUUGGCGUUCUGGAGGCUGAGCCCUGGAUGCCAGUGUGGAAGUGAGGGUCCUGGGCUGGGGUGUAGGGGUGAGUGAGGUGGCAUUGGAGGUGGGCGGUGGGGGUAUCCCUGCUGGCUUCUCAGCCCCUAGAAGAGCUGCUGAGCUACUUCAUCACGCAGGUUCAUGGACAUUCACCUGUGCAGUCCUGGUACUCAGCAGGGUCCAUGUUUGGCUGAAUAUUCUGCCAUCACCCUCUUGAAGUUCUUAAUCAUUUUGGAGUACAGGGCCUGGAAUUUUCAUUUUGCACUGGGUCUGGCAAAUUGUGUAGCCUGUCCUGGCUUCAUGCUUUGCUUUCCUCCAGUAGUAGCUUCUCCCUCAAAUGGGGCAUUCAGGUGCACCCCUCAGCCACCCCCAGCCAGCCAUGAGUGCUUUAGGUAAGCCCAGUUCCUAAAAAGUGGUGGGGGACAAGCUUCUGCCCCUCGAACCCAACAGUACGAACCUUUCCGAAAAAGCUCAAGGCCAGCAGUGUGA